rnacentral:rRNA from 1 species
CUUAACAGGGAUUAGAACCCUGGUAGUCCACGCCCUAAACGAUGUACACUAGUUGUUGUGAGGCUCGACCUUGCAGUAAUGCAGUUAACACAUUAAGUGUACCGCCUGGGGAGUACGGUCGCAAGAUUAAAACUCAAAGGAAUAGACGGGGACCCGCACAAGCGGUGGAGCAUGUGGUUUAAUUCGACGAUACACGAAGAACCUUACCUGGACUUGACAUAGUAAGAAUGAUUUAGAGAUAGAUUAGUGUCUGCUUGCAGAAACUUGCAUACAGGUGCUGCACGGCUGUCGUCAGCUCGUGUCGUGAGAUGUUGGGUUAAGUCCCGCAACGAGCGCAACCCUCGUCCUUAGUUGCUAACAGUUCGGCUGAGAACUCUAAGGAGACUGCCUACGCAAGUAGGAGGAAGGUGAGGAUGACGUCAAGUCAUCAUGGCCCUUACGUCCAGGGCUACACACGUGCUACAAUGGGGUAUACAAAGAGCAGCAAUACGGUGACGUGGAGCAAAUCUCAAAAAUGCCUCCCAGUUCGGAUUGUAGUCUGCAACUCGACUACAUGAAGUUGGAAUCGCUAGUAAUCGUAGAUCAGCUAUGCUACGGUGAAUACGUUCCCGGGUCUUGUACUCACCGCCCGUCACACCAUGGGAGUUGAACUCAUUCGAAGCGGGGAUGCUAAAGUAGCUACCUUCCACAGUGGAUUCAGCGACUGGGGUGAAGUCGUAACAAGGUAACC